rnacentral:rRNA from 1 species
UACGUAAGUGGCGAGCGUUAUCCGGAAUUAUUGGGCGUAAAGAGCUCGUAGGCGGUUUGUCGCGUCUGCCGUGAAAGUCCGGGGCUCAACUCCGGAUCUGCGGUGGGUACGGGGCAGACUAGAGUGAUGUAGGGGAGACUGGAAUUCCUGGUGUAGCGGUGAAAUGCGCAGGAUAUCAGGAGGAACACCGAUGGCGAAGGCAGGUCUCUGGGCAUUAACUGACGCUGAGGAGCGAAAGCGUGGGGAGCGAACAGGAAUUAGAAACCCUUGG